UGGUUUUAUCUAACAAACAGU
rnacentral:piRNA from 1 species